ACAUGCCUAUAGCAUAGCAUUAAUGCAGUGGAUCCCAUUAGAACUCCGCAGUUAAGUGCACUCAGGCUAGAGUAGUACUGGGAUGGGUGACCGCUCGGGAAGUCCUAGUGUUUUACAUGCC
rnacentral:rRNA from 1 species